UGUGGCUCAGUGGUACAGCAUCUGCUUUGCAUGCAGAAGCUUCCAGGUUCAAUCCCCAACUUCUCAA
rnacentral:tRNA from 1 species